GAUGAAGAACGCAGCAAAAUGCGAUAAGUAAUGUGAAUUGCAGAAUUCAGUGAAUCAUCGAAUCUUUGAACGCACAUUGCGCCCGCUGGUAUUCCGGCGGGCAUGCCUGUUCGAGCGUCAUUUCAACCCUCAAGCCCCCCGGGUUUGGUGUUGGGGAUCGGCUCUGCCUCACGGCGGUGCCGCCCCCGUAAUACAUUGGCGGUCUCGCUGCAGCCUCCAUUGCGUAGUAGCUAACACCUCGCAACUGGAACGCGGCGCGGCCAUGCCGUAAAACCCCAACUUCUGAAUGUUGACCUCGGAUCAGGUAGGAAUACCCGCUGAACUUAAGCAUAUCAAUAAGCGGAGGA
rnacentral:misc_RNA from 1 species